CGUGGUAAGUUCCCCGUCUAAAUCACGGCACCUAGCAUUCUUGAGUAAACCUUUCGGUAAUUUACAAAGGCUGUUGAAUUUUAUAGUAAGUGUUUUUCAAACCAAGCUGGAUUCUAAACAAUAAUGACUUUUUAAUGUGGCUCUGUGAUUACAUUGUCAUGGAGAAAUACGGGGGUCUCUGACUGCAUCCGAAAUGAGCCUGGUGUGAAUUACUUGCCGGCACAGACCAGCGCGGCCGCAGGUAAAGCAAUCUUCAUAAAUCACCCUCCAAUCCGGGUGGCCUGGCAGGCGAGGCCUGAUGCCAGUGUUGGCAACUUAAAUUUCAGCGGACAAUUUGUAAACAAGCUCUUCCUUUUGUUCCGGAGCGGUGGCCACAGCUGAGGGCCUCUCCGUGGCGGAGGGCUGUGCCGCCUCGGUCCGCUGGGCAGACACUGGCUGUGACCUUGUAUGACGCCGGGUACGGGGCCACCAGCCUGCAAGCCUGCUGACAUGAAAGGUCUGAAGACUGAGGCCCGGAGUGGUGAUGACCCUACCAGCCUGAGGCUGCACAUCCAGGAGCUGGGAUCCAAGCUUCCUCCCCACCCAGCGGUGUAGGCUCAAGAUGCACUCCCAAGGUGGGCUCUGGGGGAAGCCAGGGUUCUGCCUGGUCUGGUCCAUGUCGCUGCUGAGAGGAGCCUCCAACCUGCUCGGAGUCACGGUCCGAGUCCUCACCGUGUGCUGGUCGGGGGGGCCAUCCGUCAGCAGACACCCCGCUGUCAGAGCUCCCCCUGUUCAGCUGAGAGCUCUCCUUCUAAGGCUGCAAAUUCAUCUGACGGGGGUCCUGUGUGUGCUCACCUCCACCCGUUUGGGCUGCUGUGGCCGAGCACCCGCACGCCGGGCGGCUUAUGAUCAGAAAUCUAUUCCUCGCGGUUCUGGCGGCGGCAAAUCUAGAUUAAAGCGCGAGCACGUUCAGCGCUGAGUGAGGACCAGCUUCCCGGUUCAUAGUGUCCGGGUCUCCUCGCUGUGUCCUCACUGGUGGGAGAGUUCAGGGGUCUCUUUCAUUAGCGCACUAAUUCCACUCUUGGGGGCUCCACGCUCAGGACCUCGUCACCUCCUGUAGACCGGCCUUCAAAUGCCAUCACCUUGGGGGUUAGGUGUCCACAUGUGAAUGGGGGGGGGCACAAUCAGUCCAUCACAGGCUAUACUUUUCAAACAAGCACCAAAUUACUGUUUUCCUUUGGGUCACGCCUUAAGGCUUGUGGGGUCUUGGUUCCCUGACCAGGGAUCAAAGCUGUGUCCCCUGCAUUGGAAGCAUGGAGUCUUAACCA